AUGUGAUUUGUCACUUAAAGAGGGAGGCAGCUCAAGAGCAUCUCAUCCUCCGGCUGCUGAGUCAUCCUGCUCUGGCAGUUAUUUAAACAGAAGCCUCCAGGAGACAUAUAAUCAACACUGCACUCAGACAAUGCCCAGACCUCCAGAAAUCAUGUGUCAAGCUCAGAUUGCCUUAGACAGGUGCAAUUCGAAAACAGCUUUCAUCUUUUUUUCUGUCAUGUUGUUACACUAUGGAUUCUGACUUCUGGCUCCUUUUCUCACAAGAAGCUCACCCAGCCAUCACUCUUACAAGACCUUGGCACCAGAGACCACCAAUUCCUCUUUGAGGUUCUCUAACAGCAACAGCAGUAUUUCUGACUUGACUUUCUUGUAUUUCUCUCACGUUAAAAUUGGUUGAGCAUCUACCAUGGGCUACAUGUGAGCUACAGGUGCUGUUGAUGAACCUGCUAAAGGACCUGAAUGUGACUGACGUCUUUGGAAGGAUGAGACUUAGUGUGCCCGUACAGUUGUGUCUAAAUGCUGUCCUUAUCUCCCAAAGGAAAGACAAGAGUCUCACACCGUCGCCCAGGUUGAAGUGCAAUGGUGCGAUCUUGGCUCACUGCAACCUCUGCCUCCUGGGUUCAAGCGAUUCUCCUGUCUCAGCCUCCCAAGUAGCUGGAACUACAGGCAUCCCCUGCACCCCCCGAACCCGGGAGGGAAAUACAACACAUGGGAUUAUUAUUGCUGAUGACACCAGAUAAUAUUUUGCCUAAACUCCUAAGCACUGGAUAAAUACAGAACAAGAUAACAAGAGUUCCCAGCAAAGGAGCCAGUUGAAUGAGAGAGAGAUCCAAGAUGGCUGAUCACUAACAGCUCAGGAUUGUAGCUCCCAGUGAAAGCUCAGAGAACGAGAGGACGCCACACUUUCAGAUGAAUUUUUGUUGCUCACGGACCAGCAGAUUUCUAGUAGAGGAGCCCCACGGGUCGCCAGCACGACUCUUCUGGCCGGUGCAGCGGUUUUGCCGGUGCCUUGGCGCUACAGCUCUUCUUGCAGAGUAAACUGAACUGGUUCCCUUACUGACCGGUGUUUGGAGCUCCAGGAAGGCAGAGCUGCUUGUUGCGGACUCAAGAAGGAAGCUAGACCAGAGAUUCCCAGGCAGAAGAGCACCAUCAGUCUUAUCGCUGCUAUUUUGGCCGGGGCAGUGGGUUGCUUGAAUCCCAGCACUGGGAAUCAAUAAAUUGGAUGUCGACUCAGAAACCUAAUUAGAAAGGCGGUAAUUAUAAAGACAACAGAUGGAUAAAUUUAUAAUAAAGGGAAAAAACCAGCCUAAGAAGGCCGAGCAUACCCAAAAUCAGAACCCCUCUCCCUCUACAGGGGAUUGCAGUUCCUCAUCAGCAACGGAACAAGCCCUGAUAGAAAAGGACUGUGUUCCAUUAUCUGAAGUAGGCUUCAGAAGGUGGAUGAUAAGAAACUUCUGGGAAUUAAAAGAACUUGUUCUAACCCAAUGUAAAGAAACGAAGAACUUUGAAAAAAGGUUUGACGAAAUGCUGAAAAGAAUAGACAAUAUAGAGAGGAAUAUAAAUGAACUAACGGAGUUGAAAAAUACAACAUGAGAACCUAGUGAAAUAUGCACAAGUUUAAAUAGCAGAAUGGAUCAAGCAGAAGAAAGGGUAUGAGAGGUUGACUCAUGCUCAAGGUUGCCUGCCUUUUGGCCUAAUUAAAGGUAUCAAAUAUUAAAGGCAUAAUAUUUUCCAUAUUCCAUAUUUCCACAAGACCAUAACAAGCAUUUUAAAGCAUGAAUAGUUGGUAUAAAAAUAUUCUAUACAAUGUUAGAACAUUUAGAAGUGUCCACCAAAGGGUAGCUCACGAAGUACAAAGAACUUAGAAAAACCAAUUUCUAAGUCUUUAUGUUCUAUAUCAGUUACCCUAAGUUUUUGAAAUGUCUAUAAUUUUUUUUAAUAGAUUCUUGUUCUGCUGCCCAGGAUGGAGUGCAGUGGCAUAACUUUGGAUCACUGCAGCCUCUGCCUCCUGGGCUCAAGCGAUUCUCCUGUCUCAGCCUCCUGAGUAGCUGGGAUUACAGGCACGUGCCACCAUGCCUGACUAAUUUUUUUGUAUUUUUAUAGAGAUGGGUUUCAUCAUGUUGGCCAAGCUGGUCUUGAACUCCUGACCUCAGGUGAUCCACCUGCCUCAGCUUUCCAAAGUGCUGGGAUUACAGGUGUAUGCCACUAUGCCCAGCCAUCGAAACAUCUGUAGUUGUGUAGAUUUCCUUACUACUUAUUCUGCGUGGCAAAAUCUGUUCAAAUAUGUGUGUUUCUUUGGCGGUGGGAGGGUUUAGAAAUGCACACAGAAAGAACAUUUGCAAACACAUCUAAACAAAGCUGGUUUGGAGACUGCAAUUUUUACUUCUAUGAUAUUGAGCAUGUAGAAUGAUAAUUAUAUUAUUUCCUCUAAAACAAAAAAAAUAACUAAAAAGUUUAGGCAGGAGGUGGCCAUAGAAUUUAUCUGUACUGAAGCAAUUGGUUUGUGUGCAUUCUUCUAUUCCAUUGUAAAUAUUUUGUACUUAUCUAGGGUAAGCCUCAGUAAUUAGGCCAUAAUCGUAAGUUGUCACUCUUGAAGACUACAGCUGUAUGUAUUUGCAAAGAUUAAUGACAACUAGAUUUUUUAAUAAUUUUGAGAGCAUUGCUUACCCUAAGAUGGCAAGCAAGACUCUUAUUGUUUACUUGAUAUGAUAUAAAUGUAUUUUAUUAAAUAUUUAAGACUACAUAGCUACAUAACUUGGUUAAAAAAAAAAGCUUUUAACAAAAUUUUGGAAAUUAAAGGUGAAUUUUUUCUUUCUAAAGCUGUGAUUUGUAGCCUUCAUAGUGCCCAGUCAUGUGCCAUAUACUAUUUAAUGUUUAAUAAUUUUUUAUGCUCAGUCACGACAUCUAUACACACAUAUAUAUUGCUAUUAAAAUCUGUAUUAUUGGCUUUUCCUUAUAACUAUUCAGAAGGUAAUAAGCAAUUCUAUUUUUAUUUUACAGACAAAGGUAUAAAUAUUUAACUGUGUAAUAGGCUAAAUCACAUGAGUAGCAGAAUGAGUACCAGAACAUGAUUCAUUAAUUUUGUGUUUACAGAUCAGUGAGCCCCAGAAUAUUUUUGUUUCUGGACUAUUCUUCAGUGAGGGUGGAUUAAACUACAUCUGUAUUUGCUGUUGGAGAGAUUCCAAAUGCACAUUUUAUAUGGUAUAGUUGGAAGUGGAAUAAACUGUUACUGGAAAAGAUCACCUUUCCCAAAUUAAAUCCAGGCUUUCAAAAGAAGCAUAGUCUAGAUUCAUAUAAUUCUAAAACAUCAGAAUCAAUCAAUCAGUAAACUAAUAAGCAAAGGUUUCUUAGUGACUUUUCCAGAUUUUAUAGCUGGUUAUGGUAUCAUGUUCAUGUUAGUAAACAGCUUUGGAAAGCCUACUAGCCAGCAGAAAUGUGAACUAUAGAUUAUACUCAGUAGAAUAACAUUAGUUAACAUUAGCCAAAUAGCACAUUUCAGUAAAUCAUUUAGAAUUGGAGAAAAUAAUCCCAUUUGGAAACAUCUGUUACCUAUUCAAACAACAAUGAUAUUGAACAUCUAUUAUUUUUUUCUUUUUCUUUUUCUUUUUGAGAUGGAGUCUGGCACUGUCUCCCGGGCUGGAGUGCAAUGGUACAAUCUCGGCUCACUGCAACCUCUGCCUCCAGGGCUAAUUCUCCUGCCUCAGCCUCCCAAGUAGCUGAGAUUACAGGCACCUGCCGCUAUGCCUGGCUAAUUUUUUGUAUUUUUAGUAGAAAUGGGGUUUCACUAUGUUGGCCAGAUUGGUCUUGAACUCCUGACCUUGUGAUUCACCCACCUCAGCCUCCCAAAGUGCUGGAAUUACAGGUGUGAGCCACUGUGCCCAGCCUGAACAUCUAUUUUAUGUCCACCAGUGGUAUAGGGUGAUGAGAUAUGAGAGAGAAAAUUAAGCAUUUCUUGCCUUCAAAGAAUUUAUAAUCUAGUUCUUCCUAUUUCAUUUCAGGUUGGUCAAUACAAGCUUUAGAUGCUUCUUGAUACCUUUAUUUAAAGAACCAAAUUUUGUCAGAAUCAUUCAACUCAUCAAGCAUGGUGGCUGAUGACUGUAAUCCCAGCACUUUGGAAUGCUGAGGUCGGAGGAUCACUUGAACCCAGGAGUUCAAGACCAGCCUGGGCAACAUAGCAAGACCCUGUCUCCACAACAAAAAAAAAAAAAUUAAAAACUAGCUGGGCUUGGUGGCAUGCACCUGUAGUCCCAGCAACAUGGGGAAGCUGAGGUGGGAGGAUCACUUGAGUUGGAGAGGUUAAGGCUGCAGUGGACCAUGAUCGCCCCACUGCACUUCAGCAUGAGCAACAAAGUAAGACCCAUCUCCCACACCCUCCCCCCAAAAAGGGGAAAAAUUGCUUAUCAAUUUUGGAUGAUACCAAGAAGCAAAUGAAUGAUAGUGAAAACAUAUAUUGAAAACAGUCCUUAUUUUCUUAAGUUGGUGAUGAUUCAAUCACCUGUUAGAAAGAUCUCAGUGUAGAGAAGGCCUUGACCAGCCAGCUGAUCUUUGUGAACUCCUUCACCCUCAGAAAGGAAAAAUAAUAUUAGUUCUGCCUUCUGGCACUGGCAAGAAACACAGGAAUGCCUGUACAAGUGCACACCAAGGACUUCAAUGUCGUUUAUCAACAGAUUUCCAAAGCAGCAAAGAGCAAGCAUUUAAACCACGCAAUUGAAUUUUAGGAAAAAUGCUCAAAAAUACAAUUUGACUAAUUAUUCAACCUUGUUAGGCAUUCUGCCAGAUCACCUUUCUUCCUUCCUACACAGUGCAAAAGACUUCUUUGCGGUAUUCAUUAGAAGGAAAAAUAAUAGUUGUUGUUGUGCCAAAUUUUUGGUAAAAGUUACUUUAAAACUAUUAUCAGUCUUCUAGAUUGUUUCUCAUUUAGUCUUGCCUCAUGAUAACUACGCUGAAAUAUCAAUUGCACAAUCAUUUAUUGUGCAAGGUUAAGGUACCUUAACCUUAAUUUGCUGUAUUAGACAUGGAAAGAAAUAAAUGAAGAUAAAUUAACCUAUUUUGAUGUCUAGAUACUUAUAAUCUAGCAGAAAUAACUAUAAAUUCUUUUUUUCUUUAAGACGCAGUUUCACUUUUGUCACCCAGGCUGGAGUGCAGUGAUGCCAUCUCGGCUCUCUGCAACCUCCGCCUCCUGGGUUCAAGCAAUUCUCCUGCCUCAGCCUCCUGAGUAGCUAGGACUACAGGCAACCACCACAACACCCAGCUGAUUUUUGUAUUUUUAGUCGAGACAGGAUUUUGCUAUGUUGGCCAGGCUGGUCUUGACCUCCUGACCUCAGGUGAUCCACCCACCUCGGCCUCCCAAAGUGCUGGGAUUACAGACAUGAGCCACUGCACCUGGCCUAACUCUAUAAAUUCUAUAAACAUUGAAUUUAUACUAAGAUGUACCUGGAAGUAGUCCUUUGAAUAAGUAAUUGGAAAAAUUAGUAAAAUAAAAUAAUUUUUAUCAUAAAAAUAGAAUGGAGACUUUAUUGAAAAUAUAAUUUUUUAGGCUUGCCUCUUAUUUAUAUGCCACAAAAAAAGCAAUUGACUAUAUUGUGUUAGUCUGCAUUGCUAGAAAGGAAUAUCUGAGUCUGGGUAAUUUAUAAAGGGAAGAGGUUUCUUUGGCUCACAGUUCUGCAGGGUAUACCAGAACCAUGGCACCAGCAUUUGCUCAGCUUCUGGUGAGGCUUCAGGAAGCUUAUUAUCACGGCAGAAGGUGAAGGGAGUGCUGGCAUACCACAUGGCAACAGAGGGAGCAACAGAGAGAGGAGGAAGUUCCAGGUUCUUUUUGACAACCAGAUCUUGCACAGAUUCAUAGAGCAAGAACUCAUUCAUACCCAAGAGAAAAGAACUAUGCCAGAGAUAUCCACCCCCAUGACCCACAUACCUCCCACCAAGCCCCAUCUCCAACACUGGGGAUUAUAUUUUGACAUGAAAUUUGGAGGGUGUAUUAGGGUUCUGUAGAGGGACAGAAUGAAUGGGGUAGAUGUAUAUAUAAAGGGGAGUUUAUUAAGGAGUAUUCACUCACAUGAUUACAAGAUGAGAUCCCACAAUAGGCUGUCUGCAAGCUGAGGAGCAAGGAAGCCACUCCGAAUCCCAAAGCUAAAGAACUUGGAGUCCAAUGAUCGAGGGUAGAAAGCAUCCAGCAUGAGAGAAAGAUGUAAGCUGGGAGGCUAAGCCAGUCUAGUCUUUUCACAUUCUUCUGCCUGCUCUUAUUCUGGCUGUGCUGGCAGCUGAUUAGAUGGUGCCCACCCAGAUGGAGGGUGGGUUUGCCUUUCCCAGUCCACUGACUCAAAUGUUAAUCUCCUUUGGCAACACCCUUACAGACACACCCAGGAACAAUACUUUAUAUCCUUCAAUCCAAUCAAAUUGACACUCAAUAUUAACCAUCAUGGAGGGGAAAAAAUCCAUACCAUAUUUUAUAGAUAGAUGAUAGCUAGCAAGCUAGCUAGAUAGAUAGAUAAACAAACAUUCUGGUGAAAAAUAAAGAAUAAAUUUGCCUAAAUUAGUGAAAAAAUCUCUCAUUGAAUUCAAAAUGUGAAGGAAAUUAUGUAUAGAACAAUUCAGUUUUAGGACCUACAAAAUGAGAGGGACAUUUUUUUCUGAGUCAAUUUAAGCAAUGCAUAAACUGCUGUAUAAGUUAAUAAUAGCUUAGUAAAAUUUUGAGAACCAAAUAGGAGUUUUCAUAAUUAGCCUAGAUCUGCUAAAUCUAAACCACCUUAACAGGUGGUUUAGAAUAUCUUUGGAUAUUUUGUAAAGUCCUACUACGUAUAGCUUCUGGAGUGUUUGCUGUA